rnacentral:rRNA from 1 species
GACGUAGGGCGCGAGCGUUGUCCGGAUUUAUUGGGCGUAAAGAGCUCGUAGGCGGCUUGUCGCGUCGUUCGUGAAAACCUGGGGCUCAACCCCGGGCCUGCAGCCGAUACGGGCAAGCUAGAAUUCGGUAGGGGAGACUGGAAUUCCUGGUGUAGCGGUGAAAUGCGCAGAUAUCAGGAGGAACACCCGUGGCUAAGGCGGCUCUCUAGUACGGUACUGACGCUGAGACGCGAAAGCGUGGGAGCGAACAGG